rnacentral:lncRNA from 1 species
UCACCGUAUGGUGCGGGAACCAGUUAGGGCCUCGAAACUGGCAGCGCAUCUGUCAAAUGUUUACGUUUUUCGGCUGCAUCGAAACAACGUGACCACCUCCACGGAUCUAGACUUCUUGUACGUCGCACACGUACACGCUUUGACAUGCGACUUUCAUACUUCACAAAAUGUGUAGUCAAUGAGCUAUUUGUUUUUCAACGCAAGUUUCACUAAAACAGCUUUUGAGAGGUUCUCACACUGAAGCAAGUACAUUGGAGAAAGAAUUUGUUGCCCAAAGACUAUGGACGACGCAUUUGAGUUGGUGAACGAGCACUUGGAGAAGGCUAUUUACGCCAGCGUCGCACUAAAUUCCAAUGGAAUUGCCUCUGAAUCCUUGGAGGCUUGAACCAAACAAGUCUUGGAGCGAUCAACGCUGAGCCCGGCGUACACGUAAGUGGCAAAUUACCUUUUCCCGGGUGAAUCCGUCUUGAUCGCCGAACCAAAGUGGCCAAAAGUGUCGUGAGCGCGAGCUGCGUGUUGCUUCAGUAAACACAUGCAGUGAGCUUUAAUCUAUUGGAUGUGUGUGUGGAGAUCCUUCAAAAUCGUGUGCUGCAAAAAAAAGGAACCAAAAAAAGCCUUUAAAGUGUCGUGAACUAGUGCCUUCGCACUGUUUUCAACCUUUGAACAGUGAACGUGAACUUGCUUCUAUUGGGUUCACCGUACAAGUGUUGUGACUUCAAAAGCCUCAGUGAUUUUACCGUUGUACUGCAUAAUUCGCCCGUUAAAACUCUCUGUAUCGGAACAUAAUUUAAGUCCUCGUGGUCAUUCUUGCAGUGUGCUUGGAAGUGGCAAUCAGUUUUUUUUUUCAAAACGUUUGUCGUCAACCUUUGAUAAAUUUGAUGAUUCAAUCUCUGAAUCACAGCAUUUUAGUUCUGAUGAACAUUCCUGCAGUGUGCUACAAUUUUAUAGUUUUUUUUUAUAUAAAAUGUGCAUCAUAAACUUGAUAUACAUGUCAUUUGUGGGAAAACUCCCAAUAGUGUGCUGCAAUUAAUGUUUGAUAUAUAUCUCAUCGAGAGGAACAUCACUCAUUUUAUUUUUUAUAAAUAAAAUGACCGACGUUGAAAGUUCGUAUGCUGCAUCAACACGUCCUCACAAAAAUUGACUUUGUUUCUGGACGAGUAGAGCUCGUGUGAGCGAUACAAACUGAUCCAUAAACUUGACCAAGUCACCAGUGAGAGCCGUCAGGAUUUCAAGAGAACAAUCAACAGAAUCCAGCAGACAGAUGACGUCAUGGUCUGUUGAUCUGUGAGCAAGCUGUGAUGUGUUUGCUUCAACUACGUGCCUGAAACUCACAAUGGCCACCACCAAGAUGCCUUCUUGUACUGAACCAGAGCGACCGGUAAGUACAAUUCUUUGAUUGGAUGUCUU